GAGUUCGUCUAAACAAGACAAUUGAUUUCGGCUUAAUAAACUUUGGUUAAAUUCCAAAACUUCCUU
rnacentral:tRNA from 1 species